CUUGGGAAACUAGGACCUCGAAGCCACGGCUUUCCUUAUCGUGAAACACAAUCUUCAAGUGUUCGAGGAAUCUGCAGGAAAAUAAAACAAUCAAUACAACGGAUGCUCUCAUCCCGCUAACUCCGUGGGAGCUCUCAAAAAUCAAAUUAAUUUAGGAGGUUCAACAUUACAAAGCGCCGCACGACGUUUGUAGACACGUCCUGUCGGCCUUCUCUCGAUCAAUACUGACGCGAGAGCUGAAUACAAGUUAAUAAGCACUGCUUUAUCACAAAGGUCAAAUUAGUUAACACCCGUUGUUGUUGUUUAUUAGACGACAAAACAUUGUGGAACCAGGACUUUGAAGCGGCGGCUAUCCGCGUAAUCAAAGGUAAACUUCAAGCGACCCACAUGAUAGGAAUCGCAAGCCGUGCGUUCCCUUGUCGCUGUGCAGUCACGUUGUCUGUCUAAAUGGGGGCCAUUAACGAGGACAGCCAGCGCCAACAGAAUUGAAAACUAAUCGCAGUGAUCCGUGCGAACUAAGGUCUAGUUUAAAUAUUUUAGUUAAAGGAAACUCUUGCUCUGUAGCGCCAUGUCAUAUCAGAGAAACACUGAGCUGCACGUAUAGUUAAGAAGUUAAGACCACAGCUACAGUUCUCCUAAUAAGAUUACUGGUACAUGAAGGACGCAGGCCAUAGAGCUGGGUCACGAAGCAGCUGUAUCCAAGCAAGUAAGCCAGAUAUAAAAGAACGUGCGCUGUUAAAAGGCAAGGACGUGCCUAGUCUAUUUUCCUUUAUCCCGUCUCUACGUCCUUUUAUCUUUUUUUAUUAUUAUUUUACCUCGCUGCGCCCUAUUCCUCAUUUUCAAUACAUCACCCCCCCCCCCUGAUAUUCGCGGCAUGAUGUCGAGGAUCCUCUGAUUUGGUAAAACUAUAUUAAGAAGGGUAAUAAUGAUUAUCGUAGUUAAGCAAGUAUUGUAUUGAACGGAAGUCGUGAAGCAUAUUCAGUGGGAUGUGGGGCAGAGAAAAAAUAUUGCACUCUGGGAAUUUUUCCCGACUUGGGCCGAUCUAUUUCUUUUCUCCCAGCACUAUCGCUGGAUUUUUUUUAGGUAUUUUGCUGGAUUAUCCUGACAGCUGCUUCGCUAUAUAAAAAGUUUCCUGAUCUGGUAAUCUGCAGGUAUAGUACUACUGAACAUAGUUCCAGCUCUGAUUACAGCAAACAGAAGCCUUAUUAAUUGAUGCGAUACAUUGAUGUGCCAUGCAUUCAUAUGCGAUGCGUUGAUAUGCAAUGCGGCGGAAAUUUCUACAAAAUCUUACGCUUUUUGCAUGCCUUAAAUUUUUUUUUCUGCUCGUCGACAGAAGCUUGCAUUCAACAUCAAGACGUGACCACGCAUGCAGCAGCCCCCAAGUGUUGUUUACUAGGUGUCUCGUAUUUUCCCGGUUAUUCCGCUUUCCACCUCCUUUCACAUAGCGCCAACGUGAACUUGAAUUUUCGUACCCUCUAGAGUGUGUUUUUUUUCUUUGCACCACGUUGCUCUGUGGCCUCACGAGAGUGAUGACCCCGUUGCAUAUUUUUUCGUCUCAACCUCCGCUGUGAAGAUGUGUCCGCCAUGUUUGUGUACGCUCGCGUGAGUUCGCAUAAGCUCGACCAAAGAGCCAGCCGCGGCAUCCCGCAUUCUCUCGUCUGCUAGCAGCCGUGUUCCCCGAAUGCACGCCCUUCUCCUUCUGGAUAUUGUGUUACGGAGAUUGCAUGGAGUGCGACGAGCGCACAUACUGAAGAAACACAAAAAGAUGUCUACGUACGUACGUGGUGUGUGGUUGUAAAUAUUAUGGCGUAUAUAUUUGUACAUAGGCAUAUACAUAUAAUCUAUUUUUCUUGUGCUUCGUUCGCUACUGUACAUAAGAUCACGCUCCUAAAGAAAACUGAUGUCAAUGGAAGAGAAGUUGGUUGCGUAAAGGCAAAUAAACCUGCCACAUUUUUUCUUGUGA
rnacentral:lncRNA from 1 species